rnacentral:snoRNA from 16 species
UUUGAUGAUGAAUCCCAGUUUUUAAGCAUAGUUCACCUGAAGGUCUUCGGAUCGCUGAACGACAACCAACACCAUCUUUCACCUUUUCUGAAU